rnacentral:lncRNA from 1 species
GGAAGCAGAAGUCUCUACCCAGAACCUGUAUUCUACAAUGAUCUCUAUGAUGCUGCAGGAAGCAUUCUAGACACACGUUCUCCUUCAUUCUAUGAUGUCAUCUGCUGUAGACUGUAGCUUCUUCACGGCAGGGGCUGCUCUUACGCACGUGGGAGGUGCUUACAUGCCCAAUGGCUGUCCUGGCCUGUGUUACCUGAGGCACCAAAAUAAAGAGACCAGAAGGCAAAGAAAGUAUCUCCAGUGGAAGAAGGCAUGUGACUAUGGCAGCCUCAGGGACCCCAACAGUUGCCCCAUGUUCCAAAGGAUCAAGAACACAGCUGUGAGGAAAAUCCACCUCUGCCAAGGCCAGAAGCAGAUCCCUUUCUCCUUCAGGAAUCUAGAUGCUGUCCCUGACUUCUCCUGCGGCAUCAUCUUUGUUCUCCUCCCAUUUAGUCAGUCAAGUCACAAAACAAACUUUUGGUUUUUUCCAAUUAACCAUUUCCUUCAGUGGCAACUCCACUCUUACAGGUGUUCAGGCCAAACACAUUGGAGUCAUUCUUGACUCUCUCAUACCCCACCUCACUGCCUGUUUCUGCCAUCCUGGUGCAGACUACCCUCAGCUCUUGCUUGGGACACCAUGGAAGCAUCCUGAUUGCUCCUCCUGCUUCCACCCUCACCCUGCUGCUGCCUAUUCCCAGUGCUUCCAGGGACAGAUACUGUCAAAACAUAAAUGAGAUAGCCAGGCACGGGGGUUCACACCUGUAAUCCCAGGGCUUUGGGACGGUGAGGAGGGAGGAUCUCUUGAGCCCAGCAGUUCAAGACUGCAGUGCCCCAUAAUCGUGCCUGUGAAUAGUUACUGUAUUCUAGACAGGGCAACAUAGCAAGACCCUGUCUCUACAAUUAAAAAAAAAUAUAUAUUAGCUGAUGUAUACUUGUGGGCUGAGGUGGGAAGAUCACUUGAACCCAGGAGUUCGAGGUUAUAGUGAGCUGUGAUUGCACCACUGCAUUCCAGUCUGGGCAACAGAGCAAGACUGUCUCUAAAUACACACACACACACACACACACACACAUGGCCUGGUGCAGUGGUUCAUGCCUGUAAUCCCAGCAUGAGCUCAGUAUAUAUUUAAAUACACACACACAUACACACACACACAUAUAUGGCCUGGUACAGUGGCUCCUGCCUGUAAUCCCAGCAUGAGCUCAGUAUAUAUUUAAACACAUGCGUGCACGCGCGCACACACACACACACACACACACACACAUAUAUAUAUAUAUAUAUAGAGAGAGAGCCUGGUAAAGUAAGUAGUUCAUGCCUGUAAUCCCAGCACUUUGGGAGACCAAGGUGGGAAGAUCACUUGAGACCAGGAAUUCAAGACCAGUCUGGGCAACAUAGUGGGACCUCAUUUCUACAAAAAGUAAAAUAAAAAUUAGCUGAGUGUGGUGGCACACACCUGUAGUCUCAGCUGUUCCUGGGGGAUGAGGCAGGAGAAUUGCUUGAAACUGGGAGAUUGAGGCUACUGUGAGCCUCGAUUGCAUCACCACACUUCUGCCUGGGCAACAGAGUGAGACUCUGUCUCAAAUAA